UAAGUCGAGCCGGACRRAYGGGAGCUWCGSKMCCUGAWSUUASUCCKGCGGACGUGGUGAGUAACACGUGGGUAACCUGCCUGUAAGACUGGGAUAACUCCGGGAAACCGGGGCUAAUACCGGAUGCUUGUUUGAACCGCAUGGUUCAAACAUAAAAGGUGGCUUCGGCUACCACUUACAGAUGGACCCGCGGCGCAUUAGCUAGUUGGUGAGGUAACGGCUCACCAAGGCAACGAUGCGUAGCCGACCUGAGAGGGUGAUCGGCCACACUGGGACUGAGACACGGCCCAGACUCCUACGGGAGGCAGCAGUAGGGAAUCUUCCGCAAUGGACGAAAGUCUGACGGAGCAACGCCGCGUGAGUGAUGAAGGUUUUCGGAUCGUAAAGCUCUGUUGUUAGGGAAGAACAAGUACCGUUCGAAUAGGGCGGUACCUUGACGGUACCUAACCAGAAAGCCACGGCUAACUACGUGCCAGCAGCCGCGGUAAUACGUAGGUGGCAAGCGUUGUCCGGAAUUAUUGGGCGUAAAGGGCUCGCAGGCGGUUUCUUAAGUCWGAUSUGAMCAGCYYMCGAAGMGUCAACACRGGGAGGGUCAUWRRAAAMWRRAAAAAAAACAAAAGAAAAAAAAAAAAAAAAUUUUUCU
rnacentral:rRNA from 1 species